rnacentral:rRNA from 1 species
UGGAAGCGUAGCGAUACGUGGAGCUGACGAAUACUAAUCGAUCGAAGACUUAAUCAAU